AACAUAUUGUCACAAUUUGAUUUUAGAUAGGCUGGGUUUAAAUUGUGUGAUGGCAUUACGACUUGUUUAAAUUUUUUACUAAAUAAACCGACCUUGAAAGUUAAAAAAACGUUCCAAUUUUAGUACAUACAGUAUUAUAUUUUCUUUGACUUGAUCCAAUUAUUUGCAACAUUUCAAAUAUUGUUUGACUGUCUAAUAUAUGUUUUAAAAGACUAAGUUUUUUUUUUUUUCCUUUAAAUUAUAGAAAACUCAAGCAUAGAAACGCAGAUGUUAUUUUCUGGUUAAGACAAAGGAGUCGUGAUGAAUUUUUAUUUCAUUUCACCAUUUUUUAAUAAAAAAUUAAAACUUUACAGUGCAAGAAUUUGUCUUUAUUGAGAGAACUAGAAGUUCAAAGUUUCAGGCACAAAUUCACAUAUUUUUGUUGGUUUUGAUGUCCUAUUUGUCAAUUG